rnacentral:tRNA from 1 species
GCGGAAGUGGCGGAACUGGCAGACGCGCUAGACUAAGGAUCUAGUGAGGUAACACUCGUGGAGGUUCGAGUCCUCUCUUCCGCACCA